rnacentral:misc_RNA from 1 species
AUCGCUAGUCCCUUAUUAAUCCACCAACAAAGUUUUUCUUGCCAGAGUUUUUCGGGCUACAUUUAUCAAAAUAUGAGUGCAUGGGAUAUGAAUACUAUGUUUUUAUCUCUGGACCCUUCUACAAUUGGAGUUCCCAGCCCAGCCCUUGAUUUCUUGCCUGAAGUUGUCAAAAUUCUAAGCUCGUGCAGCGGGUUGCUCCUUUGUCAGGGGUCAGAGAAGUAUUAUGUUUGCAAUCCUGCAACUCAAGACUGGAAAACUCUCCCUCCUCCCCGGUACUAUCAUGGUGAUGAACCGGCAGUUGUUCUUGCAUUUGAACCUUCUCUCCGUAACAUUGAGGCAUAUUAUCAUGUUAUCUGUGCAUUUCCUAUGCUUGAUCAGCCAAUCAUCGGAUUUGAGAUUUACUCUUCAGAAUCAAAUACUUGGAGCUGCUCUUCUGCAUACUGUUCUGAUCUAGAAAAUUCGUGUCUUGAUGGUGGGAAUUUGUUUAUGAAGGGGGUUGCUUACUUCGAGACAAAAUCAAACGAAGUAUUGGCCUUUGAUGUGAAAGAAGAGAUCCCUGCAAUUAUAUCUUUACCUGCUCAAGUUGGGAGGCAUGGAUCCUUAACACAGAUGGAUGGUGAGCUGAGCUACGUUACUGCUUUUAAUGAAUGUGAAAAUGUCUUCUUAAUAGAUAUCUACCAAGGCAUGGAAAUGAGCCUGAAGCGCAGUGUUAGCAUCAAUCUUGGACCUGAGAGGGGUCUUACUUGUGCGUGCAAGGUACUACCCUGUGUUAACAGUGAUACUGUGGCUAUUCAGGUUCGCGAACACAUAUACUUGUAUCACAUCAGGGAGCAGAAAGUUGAGUCUAUAGCAAGUCCAAACGCUAUCGGUCCAGCCAAAAGGUUCCUGCCCUACAUAAACAGCCUUGCUAAUGCUACAAUUCAGUUGAAGCCUUAAUUCACUCUCUGUCCAUGAGUGAAAAAUCACUGAUUUUACAGCUCUUUUGAAUCUUUGCUUACAUUAUGACUUAGAUGGUGUAUAAAACUAAGUUGACAUUCUGUUUUUUGUGAACAAUGGAUUUCGUCUAAGUAGCUUUCAUUUGGAUAGUGACAUUUUUA